UGUGUGUGUGUGUGUGUGUGUGUGUGUGUGUGUGUGUGUGUGUGCCGUGCGCGCACGCGCAUGCGCACGCGCACGC
rnacentral:miRNA from 1 species